UACAGAGGGUGCAAGCGUUGUUCGGAAUCAUUGGGCGUAAAGGGCGUGUAGGCGGUCUGUUAAGUCAUGUGUGAAAUCCCUCGGCUCAACCGGGGAACGACGCAUGAAACUGACAAGCUAGAGUACCAAAGAGGGGGGUGGAAUUCCCGGUGUAGCGGUGAAAUGCGCAGAUAUCGGGAAGAACACCCGUGGCGAAGGCGGCUCUCUGGGACGGUACUGACGCUGAGACGCGAAAGCGUGGGGAGCGAACAGG
rnacentral:rRNA from 1 species